rnacentral:rRNA from 1 species
GGGGGAAUUUUCCGCAAUGGGCGAAAGCCUGACCGAGCAAUGCCGCGUGGAGGUGGAAGGCCUACGGGUCGUCAACUUCUUUUCUCGGAGAAGAAACAAUGACGGUAUCUGAGGAAUAAGCAUCGGCUAACUCUGUGCCAC